rnacentral:rRNA from 1 species
UACGUAGGUGGCAAGCGUUGUCCGGAUUUACUGGGUGUAAAGGGCGUGUAGCCGGGAAGGCAAGUCAGAUGUGAAAUCUGGAGGCUCAACCUCCAAACUGCAUUUGAAACUGCUUUUCUUGAGUGUCGGAGAGGUAAUCGGAAUUCCUUGUGUAGCGGUGAAAUGCGUAGAUAUAAGGAAGAACACCAGUGGCGAAGGCGGAUUACUGGACGAUAACUGACGGUGAGGCGCGAAAGCGUGGGGAGCAAACAGG